rnacentral:misc_RNA from 1 species
AACGCACCUUGCGCUCCUUGGUAUUCCGAGGAGCAUGCCUGUUUGAGUGUCAUGAAAUUCUCAAACCUUUUCAUUAUUUAUUAAUGGAAAAGUUUGGAUGUGGAAGUCUGCAGGUCUCUAGAAAUGGAGGUCAGCUCUUCUCAAAUGCAUUAGCAAGGACCUUAUCCUUUUUGUUGGCCUUGGUGUGAUAAUUAUCUAUGCCAUUGGCUUGAGGAUGUGGGUUUGGCUUUCUAAUGGUCUCCUUCGUGAGACAAUAUUUCUGAUACCUUUGACCUCAAAUCAGGUAGGACUACCCGCUGAACUUAA